rnacentral:rRNA from 1 species
CAGCCGCCGCGGGAAUACGUAGGUCCCGAGCGUUGUCCGGAUUUAUUGGGCGUAAAGCGAGCGCAGGCGGUUAGAUAAGUCUGAAGUUAAAGGCUGUGGCUUAACCAUAGUACGCUUUGGAAACUGUUUAACUUGAGUGCAAGAGGGGAGAGUGGAAUUCCAUGUGUAGCGGUGAAAUGCGUAGAUAUAUGGAGGAACACCGGUGGCGAAAGCGGCUCUCUGGCUUGUAACUGACGCUGAGGCUCGAAAGCGUGGGGAGCAAACAGGAUUAGAUACCCGCGUAGUCCCUGUCUCUUAUACA